GGUCCCUAGAGGCCGCGAUGCUCUUCACCGAGGGGGCGCUCAGAGUAGGCUGUUGGCCUCUUCACUGCCGACCCAACUUCACCCCACAGUAGACUUUGAUCCUUGACAAAUCUAGGAUAUGCAUAUUGCAGGUGUCCUAUAGGUUUUGCCAUCGGGUGGAACAGAACAAAUGUAGGUCUACUGGGUUCUUGGCACAGUACCAUAUGGACCUGGACAAAGCAUUUUUAAGGUGGAAAUUUUUAUUAUGCUAAUCAUUUCAAACAUUUGAGCAGUCUAGUUUUCCGGUAUUUUAUUCAAAUAACUAAAUGCAGGGUUCAUAUAGCGAGCAAUAUUUGUGGGAUAAUUUAUGAUCACUUUAAAUUAUUUCCUACCAAAUGUAAAGUUACAUCUCAAAUAGUUAACUUUUUUGGAGCACUGUGUUAAGUCCUGUAUGUACAUUAUCUCACUUAAUACUUACAGUAAUAUCAUGAAUUAGGUUGCUUAAACUUGCUCUUUCACAGACGUAUGAACAAGGCAAAGAGGGAUUAAGAUCCUUGCCCCUGGUCCCAAAAUUAGAGCUGUAUUCUAGAGCCUUUCCUUCCAUUAACUGCAGGCUUAGGUAGAAGAAUGAGAAUGGACUCAGAUCUGGACACAAGUCCUACCUACCCUGUUUUGUGAAUUAGGGCAAGUCAUUUAACCUCUCUGCAUUUCAUUUUCCUCUGCUGCCACAGAUGAACACUUUGAACUAUUACAUUUUAUUGAAUCAUGAAUCGUCAAAAAAUCCUUAAAAGAGCGCCUUCACCAUUAUCUGCCAGAUUUUCUUCCAUGCCCCCGACACUCAUUCCAUAAGUUUCGGUGCACAUAUGCAGGCAGCGAUAAUGCUACUGCCGCCUGGUCUGACCACACUGUAAGCUGUGACCAAUUUGAGAGAUGUCAAAAUGUAAAAUAAUAUGUGUCUUGGAAUAGAUGACAGGCAGUAGGUGAUCUCUGAGCUACUUUUCAACAACAACCCUAUGACAUCUGUGACUUUAUAACACUUUACUGCUAAUCUAUGUAUUUUUAAUGUAAAUGAUUCAAGGUAAAGCUUAAACUUCUUGAUAAUGGAAAAGUAAUAACCAUGCCUGGUUUUUUCACCUCUGAAUCCCCAGUACCUUGCCUGUAGUAAAUGUUCAAUAAGUGUUUGCUGAAUGAAUUAAGCAAAUCUUCACUUCAUAUUACAAACACAACUUUUUUAAAAAUUGUAUUUGACUUGAAUAUAACAUAUAAUAGUAUCAACAGUGCAAAAAUAUUUUGCUAGCAUUUUUUUGAAUGCAUAAAUGCACUGUUAAAAAACAGUGGUGAUUCUUUCCAAACAUCUUUCCUGCUCACUGUUGUUGAUUGUCAUCAAAUGUGGAGUACAUUUUAUUCCUUGAAGAGGAUGUUGAAAAUUGAAAUGUGGACAUAGAGACUUUUUAACAAGAUAUCAUAGAGGAAUCAUUUUAAUAAAAGUUGGAAAAUGUUAUUUUGAAAUCUCAUUACAUUUUUAUGAGUGUUCUGGAGGUGAUUAAGCAUAGUAUUUUCCAAAUGUACAAGUGUGUCUGAGUUAUGAAUGAUGAAAAUAACUAUAAUUGCAAGAUAUUUUGAAACUAUGCAAAUGGGCAGAAAAAGUGUUUUAAGUUUUGGGGUAGGCAAGUGUAAAAUAAUGAAACUAAAGAAAUUAUCCCAACCAUAUUUAUGGUGUGUCUUAUGAGGUCUGUACUUUCAGUUAGAACCAGGAAGAGGACACAGGAAUUACUAUAGAGUUAUAGAGACAUUUCUCUGGAGGUGAUCAGCUAAGUGUUAUGCUGUAGCCAGAAAAGCCAACAAGAUGUGAGGUAUCGUGAAAGGGAUGUGGGAAAAUCAGCAAACAGUAUCUUACCCUCAAGCAACACAAUGGUCUUUCUAAACAUGAGAUGCAAUUAUUUUACACUCAUGAAGGGUAGAUCCAGAAUGUUCAAAAUCUUUUCAAUUCUUAAAUAUGACUGUAGUUAUAAUUUUCCUCACAGAAUUCUGGAAAGCCUAUGUGCUUGUAUGCCUAACUUUUAUUUUAUUUUAUUUUUGUCUUUUUUUUUUUGCUAUUUCUUGGGCCGCUCCCAC